GACGAACGCUGGCGGCGUGCCUAAUACAUGCAAGUAGAACGCACAGUUUAUACCGUAGCUUGCUACACCAUAGACUGUGAGUUGCGAACGGGUGAGUAACGCGUAGGUAACCUGCCUGGUAGCGGGGGAUAACUAUUGGAAACGAUAGCUAAUACCGCAUAAUAUUAAUUAUUGCAUGAUAAUUGAUUAAAAGGUGCAAUUGCACCACUACCAGAUGGACCUGCGUUGUAUUAGCUAGUAGGUGAGGUAACGGCUCACCUAGGCGACGAUACAUAGCCGACCUGAGAGGGUGAUCGGCCACACUGGGACUGAGACACGGCCCAGACUCCUACGGGAGGCAGCAGUAGGGAAUCUUCGGCAAUGGACGAAAGUCUGACCGAGCAACGCCGCGUGAGUGAAGAAGGUUUUCGGAUCGUAAAGCUCUGUUGUAAGAGAAGAACGGGUGUGAGAGUGGAAAGUUCACACUGUGACGGUAUCUUACCAGAAAGG
rnacentral:rRNA from 1 species